rnacentral:lncRNA from 1 species
GGUGGAGUAUAUAUUUAUCUUUGUAUACAUGAACAGGGAGCGGUUCCACCGGAGCUUCAUCUUCUUCAACGGCCAAACCAACAAACUCGGCUCCUGGCAUCACCUUCGCCGGAGCUAGCUUCGCAUCAGCUUUCAUGGCAUUGGCAACAAUCUUCUUCUGAUCUACUACUAUAUUGCAUUUUUUCUUUAUUCAUUAUUACGUAGGUUUUUUAUAUGUUGAAAAUUUGUUUGGUUAUUGAUUAUUAUUAUCAUUAUGUACUUUGAAAUUUCUAAUAAUAGUAAUAAUUUCCAGCAUGUCUUUACCAACACUUUCUCUAAUUAGUUUAAUGCCCAAAUCUAAAUUCAUCUCAUUACGUUUUUUGUUUUAAUUUAUUUUUUGUGUACAUGUAAUGCAAUCACAAACAUGUACAUUACCACAAGUCGAUAUGAACUAUGAAUUAGUGAUACUAUGAGGUUACUACUUCAAACUAUUAAUUUUACAUAUACUGGUGUAUAGUAUACAUAUGUCAAGUAUACAAUAUGUUUAAAAUAGGUAUAUAGUCUGAUAGCUAACGUUUUUGGAAGCUAGUUUUUAAGCUACUGUCGCAAAAAUAUAAUUCUGGUAUGCUGAUAUUUUUUGGGUUUUCAGGUUUGAUUUUGGGUAAAUUUUUGGGUAUUUUCGCGGUUCUUCGAAUAUUUUUAAAAUUUUCAGUUAAUUUUUGAAUUUUCUGAUCUUAUUCGGAUUUUCGGGUCCUAAAUAUCAGAACCGGCCCGAAUCCAAAAUAUACCCGAUAAUUACGGAUAUUUUACGGAUAUUGGAAUUUUUAGACCUGAACCGAUCGGUACUUAUAUGGGUCCAAAUAUCUAGGAAUCUGAUGCCCAUUCCCAGUGAACAUGGUUGAAAACUACAACAAACCGUAUGUUCAUGCUCUGUUCUGUUCAUGUAAUAACAAUCUUUUCUGUGAACUCUUAUAAAUAGAUUGAAAUAAGGAUUUAACUAAUUAACGUCAGACAAUCCAGAGCUUAGUCUUCGAUCCAUUGCAUAAGAACCGGAUCAGAACAGAUUUUGUUACUGUUUCUCGAAAAACCAGGGAGAAACUCGAUUAGAUUGUAAAACAAACGAAACUAUAACCAACGUGUGUGUACUAUAUAAGAUACGUGAAGAUGUAUUACAUCAAUCCACACAACUUUCAAAGUAAGACAACAAAAUAACCGUCUGUUUGAAAUAUUUAAGCUCUUUGCUUAUUUGAAAAUGGAGGUCGUCAGAUUCGCCGUCGCCGUCGUUUUUGUAUUGUUCUCUGUUUCUUCGUCUAACGCUGAGCCUACACCGGCAAUGGGUGGAGGCGGAGGAGGAGGAGGAGGAGAUGCUCACUCAAUGCCGUGUAUACAAAAACUGAUGCCAUGUCAGCCUUAUCUUCACUCGGUGACUCCUCCACCUCCCGCGUCGUGUUGCCUGCCGAUGAAGGAGAUAGUCGAGAAAGACGCGACGUGUCUUUGCUCCGUCUUCAACAAUGUCGACAUGCUCAAAUCGCUUAACCUCACUAAAGAAAACGCUCUUGUUCUCCCUAAAGCUUGUGGCGCCAAGGCUGACAUCUCGCUAUGCAAAUCCAGCAAUGGUAAGCCACUUAAUACGACGCCGUUUACAGUAGGUUUUAGCUUGAUGCACGCAAGUUUUUGUUCCUUAUCUUUAUUAUUUUUAUUUUUUUUUUUAAUUUUACUAAGGCACCACUACACCUUCGACGGGAACUACCACAACUCCUCCGGCAUCUUCCACUGGUAUGAUUACAUAAUAACAGUUGUACGUGGUGGAGUAUAUAUUUAUCUUUGUAUACAUGAACAGGGAGCGGUUCCACCGGAGCUUCAUCUUCUUCAACGGCCAAACCAACAAACUCGGCUCCUGGCAUCACCUUCGCCGGAGCUAGCUUCGCAUCAGCUUUCAUGGCAUUGGCAACAAUCUUCUUCUGAUCUACUACUAUAUUGCAUUUUUUCUUUAUUCAUUAUUACGUAGGUUUUUUAUAUGUUGAAAAUUUGUUUGGUUAUUGAUUAUUAUUAUC